GCGGCCUAUCAGCUUGUUGGUGGGGUGAUGGCCUACCAAGGCGACGACGGGUAGCCGGCCUGAGAGGGUGACCGGCCACACUGGGACUGAGAUACGGCCCAGACUCCUACGGGAGGCAGCAGUGGGGAAUAUUGCACAAUGGGCGCAAGCCUGAUGCAGCGACGCCGCGUGAGGGAUGACGGCCUUCGGGUUGUAAACCUCUUUCGCCAGGGACGAAGCGCAAGUGACGGUACCUGGAGAAGAAGGACCGGCCAACUACGUGCCAGCAGCCGCGGUAAUACGUAGGGUCCGAGCGUUGUCCGGAAUUACUGGGCGUAAAGAGCUCGUAGGUGGUUUGUCGCGUUGUUCGUGAAAACUCACAGCUUAACUGUGGGCGUGCGGGCGAUACGGGCAGACUGGAGUACUGCAGGGGAGACUGGAAUUCCU
rnacentral:rRNA from 1 species